rnacentral:lncRNA from 1 species
AGUGAAGAAAGGCAGCAGGAAAGACACAUCUACUGCUCAGCCGAAAGCAGCCCUGACACGCCAUUUCCUGGGACUGGUACUGCCAGCAUGUGAUGGAUAAAUGGUCUGCUCUCCAUCUGAGAGGCAAGCCUUCUCUUACUGGAGCCCUGGCAUUUUCUUCAAGAGGACUGCCAAUUGUCUUAAUGUUCCUACGACGUGCGUAAAUGACUGAGGUUUCAGAUUAGAAGGCAAGAGCCGUCACCUCCUGCCCUGUCUUCUUCCUAGGGAAGGUUCCUGAAUCUUCUGGACAGAGCUGCUCUUAAGAAAGCCCUCCCAACAUGAAAUAUAUUAUAAAAGAUACAUAGCAUUCCAUCUACAAGAUACUGUUUGGUUCUUGGCCAUAACAAAUAGUGGUCCUUAAGGAGAAGGAUGCCACAGCUCCCUUGCCAUAAGGAGCCUCUUGAUGAACUCAUUUUUAUAAGUUUAUGCCCAAAUGUCCCAAAAUGAAUCAUUGGCAUUUAGAAGCUUUGCCCCCAUUUGUCUUAAAAGCCAAACCGAACCAAACCAACAACUUUGCUAUAGCAGAAGUCAUCUAUGAUCUUGUAGGAAAUGAAAGCAGUAUUAAAUCCAUUCAGCUUCCAGCUAAAAGAAGACUCCAGAGCUCAGGAAGGAGUGUUGUCAAAGAAGGUGCAAUGAAAGACUAUGUCAGGGGCACUUGGGUGGCUCAGUCAGUUAAGCAUCUGCCUUUGGCUCAGGUCACCAUCCCAGGAUCUUGGAAUCGAGCCCCACAUCAGGUUCCCUGCUCAGUGGGGAGUCUGCUUCUCCCUCUGCCCUCUGUUCCUCCCCCUGCUCAUGUGCUUUCUCUCUCUCUCUCCCUUUCUCUCAAAUAAAUAAAUAAAUAAAAAUCUUUGGGACACCUGAGUUGCUUAGUCAGUUUAGUCUCUGCCUUUGGCUCAUGUCAUGAUCCUGGGGUCCUGGGAUCCAGCCCCACAUCAAGCUCUCUGCUCGGCUGGGAGCUUGUUUCUCCCUCUCCCUCUCCCUGCUGUUCCCCCUGCUUGGGCUCUCUCUCUGUCUCGAAUGGUUGCAUAAAAUCUUUAAAAAAUAAUUUUUUUUUAAAAGAAAGACUGUGUCAGAACAAGACAAGCACAAGCUAUGCCACCUAUACACAGAAAUGUUGCUACAUUUGCUUUGUUAUUUGCACCUGAGCAAACAAAAAUUGGGAAGACAAAAGUGUUUAUUGAAAGUUGUGGUUAAAUAUUUCUCCAAUUUUUUAUUAUAAUUAUUUCAGAGUUUUCUUCCUUCAGUGUUCCUGAACACAUACACAGACACAGAGAGAGAGAGUCAAAGAAAGAUAGCAUCACAGUUUAAGGAGGGAUUGGCUCAAGUGUCAGAGAGGUAGAAGGAGACACAGAUGAAAUAUUAUAGAAGGAGACCCAUGGAAGGCACAUGCAUAGCAAUUAUUAUGCAGCAGGCAUUAGCCUAAACAUUUAAUCACCACAAUAGCCUCGUGAAAUAGAUGCAACUAUUAUCAGCAUUUUAUGGACCAGAGAGACUAAGGUACUGGGAGACUAACUAUCGUGUCCCAAGUCUCACGGUUCAUCAGUGGUAUAGCUGGGAUUUGAGACAGAGGUUUUGUAACCAUGCAUUUAAUUACCAGCCAGACAAGGGAUAAAGAAGUUUGAGAAAAAGGGAUCCAUUCCUGUAGGUCACAUAAAGGAAAGGAGUGCACUGGUUUCAGCAACAAGGAAGUCAUUAAUGCCUUUUGUCAGAACUGUUUCAAUGGGAAGGUGAAGAUAGAAAAGCAGGCUUUGGUGUUGCUCAGUGAGGUCUUCUGUGGCAACUCUUCUGACUUCAGAUUUUUCCCAGUUUUUCUAUUCAAGUAGGGAUCUUCUUCCAGAAUAAGACUCUGAGACCGCAUUUGACAAGCAAGAUCUUGAUCAAGGAAUCCACUGUGUGAGGAAGAGAGAAGGAGCCCUAUAGGGGGAGAAAAGGAAGUCAAACUUCCAUGCAGACCUACAACAGUUCUAGAGAGUCCGACAGGGAGAAUUGGGGGAUUAGUGACCAUUAAAAUUGUUUUACGUUGGGUUAACAUGGCUCAGCUAUAAAGCUGGUUAUAAAACUACUCUUGGCUCAGUCACCAGAUGUGGCUGCUCCAGGCAUGGCGUGGCCAGGGAUGGGGUUGGGGUGGGAGGCUGGCAACUGGAACAGAACCUGAAAGAGCUGGCAACUGGAGGCCCUCUGCUAACCAAACUAUCUGCGCAAGUCCUUGGACAGGGAGUGCUUACCAUACCUUCCAAUACAUUUUCGACCUUUUAUUUCCUUAUAUUAAAUCUCAUAUGUGGAUAAUUAAAAAUGGCCUUUCCCCCCUCUAACUGGUGCAUAGACUGUAAGCAACUUUUGCGUUAGAUUUUUAAGUAUUUCUUUGAUACGGUCUUUUUAAUAGACCAGUAACAACUUGAGGUCAAGGACCUUAUAUUUUCAUCUUGUUUUCUCAAAUCUAACAGAGCAAUGUGACUCAUAAUAAAAUGUGUUGACGAUUGAAUAGGUGGGGCAUUUGAAAUAAGUCUUUAAGGAUGACUAAGAGUUUACCAGUCAGAACACAGAACCAAAGGCUAAACAGCUUGUGUGCUAAUUAAGCUUGCAGUAAUUGUGUUUUUUAAAUAUAUAAAUGAACAGUUUACAUUUAUCCACUGCACUGCAAAAGCUUAUUCAGUGCCCCCAGCAGAAGUCUUUCCAAAAACAUUUGGAAGAAUAAGUAAAAUGCACUUAUCUACUUUCAGAUAAUUUAUUUAAAUGAAAAUGUUUUAGUAUAUAACCCAUUUUCAGGGGAUUUUUUUUUAAUUUAAAAUGUAUUUGUAAAUUUCAUAAGUUUAAAUUCAAUGUAAGAUGAGAGAACAAAGAUGACCAUUUCAAAGAUGUACUUUUAAAAAUAUAAAGUCAUUUUCUACUUGUAUUAUACAUUAUACAUUCUUUUCUACCCAAUUUUUUGUUUUACUCAAUACUAGAUACUGCUUCAGUUCCUCUUUUAUAAGUGGAUAAUAAUUUAUAGAUUUUUAUGAGAGCUGAAUUAAAUAACAUUUAAACUACUUAAGUACCUUGGUAUAACAGAUACAAAAAGAUGCCUUGUUUUUUGUACCUUAAUUAUCUUUUAAUUUAGGGAAAGGGCUCCCUCUCAUCUCAUUUCCAGCACCUAGCACUAUUUG